rfam:Myotis davidii contig222034, whole genome shotgun sequence.
AGGCCUGGAGAGAGAGGCAGGGUCUGAUCCAAGCUUCUGUGGCAGCUGUUGAUCAGCGGUUGCCUCUCUCUUUCUCUCCG